AACUUACACAUGCAAGUCUCAGCACCCCCGUGAGAACGCCCUUUAAACCUAUACCAGGUCAAGGAGCCGGUAUCAGGCACACCCAGUUGCCCACAACACCUAGUCUCACCACACCCCCAAGGGUAAUCAGCAGUGAUAAAUUUUGCCUAUAAGCGUCAGCUUGACUCAGUUAGAGAUCAAAGAGCCGGCCAAUCUAGUGCCAGCCGCCGCGGCUACACUAGGGGCUCAAGUUAAUUAUUAUCGGCGUUAAGCGUGUUUAAAGAUAAAUUAAACUGGAGUUAAAUUGACACUUAAUCGUGAUAAGUUUGUUGUCAAGAAAACCAUAAACGAAAGUUACUCCAAUAAUACUUGAAUACACGACAGCUGGGACACAAACUGGGAUUAGAUACCCCACUAUGCCCAGCCGUAAAAAAUUACUUACACCUACCAGCGCCAGGGAACUACAAGCAAUGCUUAAAACCCAAAGGAUUUGACGGUGUCCUACCCCCCUAGAGGAGCCUGUUCUAUAAUCGAUAAUCCCCGCUACACCCAACCACUUCUAGCCUUUCAGUCUGUAUACCUCCGUCGAAAGCUCACCGUAUGAACGUUUACAGUGGGCUCAAUGACCCCCGUCAACACGUCAGGUCAAGGUGCAGCUAAAGAAAUGGUAAGCGAUGGGCUACAAUUUCUAACUUAGAACAAACGAAAAGCUGUGUGAAACCACAGCCAUGAAGGUGGAUUUAGCAGUAAAAAGAAAAUAGAGUGUUCUUUUUAACUUGGCUCUAGGACGUGUACAAACCGCCCGUCACCCUCUUCGAUAAAUAAUACUAA
rnacentral:ncRNA from 1 species